rnacentral:rRNA from 1 species
UACGGGGGGGGCAAGCGUUGUUCGGAAUUACUGGGCGUAAAGGGUUCGUAGGUGGCUUGCUAAGUCAGACGUGAAAUCCCUCAGCUUAACUGGGGAACUGCGUCUGAGACUGGCAGGCUUGAGUGCAGGAGAGGAACGCGGAAUUCCAGGUGUAGCGGUGAAAUGCGUAGAUAUCUGGAGGAACACCGGUGGCGAAGGCGGCGUUCUGGACUGUAACUGACACUGAGUGAACGAAAGCCAGGGGAGCAAACGGG